rnacentral:lncRNA from 1 species
AUCCUGAGAAGUGACAAAGGAGCAAUGCUUAGGGGAGAAGGGGCCCUAUAUUCUGUGAUAGGUACAAUGUGCCCCCAUAAGAUGUCCACAUCCUAAUUUUCAGAACCAGUGAGUGUUACCUUACAUGGCAAAUGAGAUUUUGUAUAUGUGAUUAAGGAUCUUGAGAUGGAAGGACUGAUGGGGUGGACCCAGUGGAAUCAAAGGGCUCCGGAUGAAUCACAGAGGGAGGCAGGAGUGUUGGGGAUUGGCAGAUGCUGCUCUGCUGACCUUGAAGACUGAGGAAGGGUCCACCAGCCAGGGGGACGGGGGCGGCCUCUAGAAGGUAGAAAAGGCAAGGAAAUGGGUUCUCUCGAGGCUCCAAAGCCUUUCCUUUACCCCCUGAAACCCAUUUCUGGUUUCUGACCUCCGGAGCGAUAAAUGUGAAUUGAUCAAAACCAGUAAGUCUAUGGCAAUCUGUUACAACAGUAAUAGGAAAUUGAUAAUAUUCCCAGUGUAAAACUGGGGUAUGACCAAUUUAACGGCAGGAAAAUAACCACAGGCAAACAAAAGAAAUCUCCAAAGCUUAAAACAAGUGAAGGGGCU